GCUGGGCGUGGUGGCGCAUGCCUGUAAUCUCAGCUACUCAGAGGCUGAGGCAGGAGAAUUGCUUGAACCUGGGAGCAGAGGCUGCAGUGAGCCGAGAUCACACCACUGCACUCCAGCCUGGUGACAGAGCAAGACUCUGUCUCAA
rnacentral:SRP_RNA from 1 species